UUUGGCGAGGAUCUUGAAUACUGAAGGUUGCACCCUCAUACUGUGCGUAUGGUUGUAAUUCCGGCGAUCUGGCGGCGUUCUGGACGCGGGUUCGAUUCCCGCCACCUCCACCUAAGCUCACCGAAGCAUCAAGCGGAUCGUGUGCUUAGGUGGGGGUGUACCGGUUUCGACAGGGCGAACAAAGGAAAGCAGGCAACUCGUCAGGCGAUCGACGUUAAUGAAGCAAAUCUCUAAACGCCAACGAUGAGCGUUUCGCACUGGCCGCUUAAGGCCUAUGCCGAGGCUGCUUGAGCCUUGUUACCAAAGAAAAGCCGGUGGGGACUUCGGUCCCCAUCGUCA
rnacentral:tmRNA from 1 species